rnacentral:rRNA from 1 species
AGCCUCUAGAAAAUCUUUAUAUUGGAGGUAACAUCUGCCCGGUGCUCUGCGGAGUUAACGGCGGCCUUAGCGUGAGGGUCUUAAGGUAGCAGUGUAACUUGCCAGUUAAUUGCUGGAUUGUAUGAAUGGAAAGUACACACGAGGGUGCCACUGUCUCGGACAAGGUUGCUUCGAAAUUUAUUUUUAGGUGAAGAAGCCUUAGAUUGGUUAAAAAGACGAGAAGACCCUGUGAAGCUUUUAUUGGCGUGACCCCAAACAAGAAGUGGGUACAAAUUUUGGAAGAAUGAAGGUGGUGGCGAGAUUUUUGCUGGGGCGGCUCACAGGGGAAGAUAAACCCCCAUGAGAAGCACUAAUGAGCUGGCAGGCGAUGAACCACUUUAAUAAGCGGUUAAUGGAGUAAGCUACUCCGGGGAUAACAGCGUAAUCUCUCAAGAGAGAACUUAUCAAAUGGGAGGAUUGCGACCUCGAUGUUGAAUGUGGUUAUCCUCGUACUAGCAGCCGGUUAGAAGGGUUGGACUGUUCGUCCAUUAAAAACCAACC